rnacentral:rRNA from 1 species
UACGUAGGUGGCAAGCGUUGUCCGGAAUUAUUGGGCGUAAAGCGCGCGCAGGUGGUUCUUUAAGUCUGAUGUGAAAGCCCACGGCUCAACCGUGGAGGGUCAUUGGAAACUGGGGAGCUUGAGUGCAGAAGAGGAAAGUGGAAUUCCACGUGUAGCGGUGAAAUGCGUAGAGAUGUGGAGGAACACCAGUGGCGAAGGCGACUUUCUGGGCUGUAACUGACACUGAGGCGCGAAAGCGUGGGGAGCGAACAGG